rnacentral:snoRNA from 1 species
GGCCGCCUGGUGCUUACCACAGGCUGUGUUUUUGCACUGACUGUAUAUAAAGAGGAGGCAGAGCAAACCUGCCCUGUAUACAUCCCAGCCCAGGCCACUGUGCCUGGUCUGUAUUGUGAAUGGGGAGACAUGG